AGGAUGAACGCUGGCGGCGUGCCUAAUACAUGCAAGUCGAGCGGUAAGGCUACUUCGGUAGUACACGAGCGGCGGACGGCUGAGUAACACGUAGGAACGUACCCCAAAGUGAGGCAUAAGCACCAGAAAUGGUGUCUAAUACCGCAUGUGAUCUUCGGAUUAAAGCUUCGGCGCUUUGGGAACGGCCUGCGCAUGAUUAGCUUGUUGGUGAGGUAAUAGCUCACCAAGGCGACGAUCAUUAGCUGGUCUGAGAGGAUGACCAGCCAGACUGGGACUGAGAACGGCCCAGACUCCUACGGGAGGCAGCAGUAGGGAAUUUUCCACAAUGGGCGAAAGCCUGAUGGAGCAACGUCGCGUGCAGGAUGAAGGCUCUCGGGUCGUAAACUGCUUUUAUAUGUGAAGAUUAUGACGGUAGCAUAUGAAUAAGGAUCGGCUAACUCCGUGCCAGCAGCCGCGGU
rnacentral:rRNA from 1 species